UACGUAGGGGGCGAGCGUUGUCCGGAUUUAUUGGGCGUAAAGAGCGUGUAGGCGGCCGGGUAGGUCUGCUGUGAAAACUCGAGGCUCAACCUCGAGACGUCGGCGGAAACCAUCUGGCUAGAGUCCGGAAGAGGAGAGUGGAAUUCCUGGUGUAGCGGUGAAAUGCGCAGAUAUCAGGAAGAACACCCAUGGCGAAGGCGGCUCUCUGGGACGGUACUGACGCUGAGACGCGAAAGCGUGGGGAGCGAACAGG
rnacentral:rRNA from 1 species